GACAGUGCUGACCUACUACCCAAAAAACACUCACGCAGAUGGAUCUGUCACGGUGGUAGUUCGCUAUAAGUCGAACUUCCAUUCUUGCACAAAUGAAGCGUGGACGUGCCCCAGCGGGAAUUGUGGAAGUGAGAGCUUAGUGACGGGCAACAUCGACGAGGAGAGCGGUGCAUGGUGUCAGACAGAGGGAAUCUCAACUCGGCUGGUUCCCAGCAACACUACAUUUCAGCUGGUGUUGGCAGGCGGCAACUGGAUAGAUAAUACUAAAAAUAACAUUGUAAGUUGGAGAGCUGUGACUCUGGUGGAACUGAGGAAACGGUCAGACACCGGCCAAGCCAACACAUCACCACAGACUACCAUCCUGCCUGUUGCGAGGGUUCCUUCAAACUGUCGGAGAGAUUUCAACCUUUUGGCGUUCGACCCUGAUGGAGACGACGUUAGAUGCAGAUAUGGA